CGGGGUGCACCAGGCGCGAAAACUUUACAAUGCCGGCAACGGCGAUAAGGGAACCUCGAGUGCCAGGUUACAAAUCUGGCUGUCGUGAUGCCUAAAAAGCAUUGCAUAGCAAGGGCCGGGCAAGACCGGUGCCAGCCGCCGCGGUAACACCGGCGGCUCGAGUGGUAACCGUUAUUAUUGGGUCUAAAGGGUCUGUAGCCGGCCGGGUAAGUCUCUUGGGAAAUCUGGCAGCUUAACUGUCAGGCUUUCAGGAGAUACUGCCUGGCUCGAGGCCGGGAGAGGUGAGAGGUACUUCAGGGGUAGGGGUGAAAUCUUGUAAUCCUUGAAGGACCACCAGUGGCGAAGGCGUCUCACCAGAACGGACCUGACGGCAAGGGACGAAAGCUAGGGGCACGAACCGGAUUAGAUACCCGGGUAGUCCUAGCCGUAAACGAUACUCGCUAGGUGUCGGCCACGGUGCGACCGUGGUCGGUGCCGUAGGGAAGCCGUGAAGCGAGCCACCUGGGAAGUACGGCCGCAAGGCUGAAACUUAAAGGAAUUGGCGGGGGAGCACAAGGGCGAUU
rnacentral:rRNA from 1 species